rnacentral:tRNA from 2 species
GGCUAAAUAGCUCAGCUGGUUAGAGCACAUCACUCAUAAUGAUGGGGUCCCAAGUUCAACUCUUGGUUUAGCCACCA